AUGGAGGCGCAGCCGCGGGAGAUCGACGGGCAUCCUCCUUCCUCGGCGACGGCGACCGCUUCUUCGUCCUCGUCCUCGUCGCGGACGGAGAGCGUUGCCAUGCGAAUCAGCGCUAAGAGAACCUGCUAUGCCUCUGCUUCCUCUGUCUUUGCCGCAUCCGGGCCACGAGGAUGGGUAGAGCUCCCGGAAGAUUUGCUCCAAUGUGUCGUUGCUCUCCUCGGCUCCUCCCGCGACCUCCUCGCCUUCGGUGCCACCUGUCGUCCUUGGCGUGAUCUCUUCUCGGUAUGCACGUGCUCUUUGCAGCCUCUCCUCCUACACCCGAGUGCCGACAGCAAACUAUCUCCCCAGUUUAACCGCUGGACGACCUUGCAAGGAUGCACGUGGAGAUUGGCUGAUCCUGCUGGCACCUCAUCCUAUCCCAGUUUGCUUUCCUUGAGUGACCUCAGAGGCAUGUUCUUUCUUCGCUACUCAUACGGCCACCUCAUCUUCUGCGACGAUGAUGGGUUCUACAUUGUUAAUGCCUUCAGCGGCGCUAAGGUUGUUCCUCCUUGCCUCAAGUCAGAUCACUUCACCAGCAUCAGCUAUGCCACCUUGAUUGCCCCUGAUGCAUCCGAUGACUCACAUCUCCUUGUUGGCAGUGGAGCCUAUCUGUUCCAGUGGCGCAUCGGGAGCGACUCUUGGUUCGAACACUAUCCUAAAGUUAAUUUUCUUAAGAUUGAACAAGUCGUGGCCCUGAAGGGCAAAACAUAUGCCCUAGGGUCUUUCGGGUCCUUCUGCAUUGUACAAUUCUUACCCAGUCUCUUAAUUCAGAAGUUUGAAGUUAUACUUGAGGAAGAUAGAACCAAAGAUCUUUAUUGGACAAAUAAAAAAACAUGGCUUGUUGCGUGCGGUGACGCGCUUCUUUUGAUCAAACUUGAGGCAUCAAGAAAGACAUUCUCGGAGGUCAUCCAGUUCAAGGCCUUCAAGCUUGAGUCGUUGGACACCGUGAGCAAGAAGGCAAGGUGGGUGAAGGUGGACAGGUUGGAUAACUGGGCCAUCUUUGUCAGCGCGGACGUGCGAUGCGAGGCAUUGCCAUGCAUGAACCCAGAGAGAUGGGGAGGCAGAAGCAACCACAUAUACUUCCCAAGUUAUCAUCCUGAACAACCUUGGGCUGCAGUCCAACUAUGGCAAAAACAUAACGACUGUUCAACACAUUCGCAGCUCGAGAACACUGGAAACCGGUACCGCAGAUUGGAGUCAACCUGGGUGAUUCCAAGCACGUUUCCUCGCUCUGGUUAG
rnacentral:rRNA from 1 species